rnacentral:rRNA from 1 species
AUUGAACGCUGGCGGCAGGCCUAAUACAUGCAAGUCGAACGGUAACAUAAAAGAAGCUUGCUUCUUUUGAUGACGAGUGGCGGACGGGUGAGUAAUAUUUGGGAAACUACCUGAUAGAGGGGGACAACAGUUGGAAACGACUGCUAAUACCGCAUAAAGCCUGAGGGUGAAAGCAGCAAUGCGCUAUCAGAUGUGCCCAAACGGGAUUAGCUAGUAGGUGAGGUAAAGGCUCACCUAGGCGACGAUCUCUAGCUGGUCUGAGAGGAUGAUCAGCCACAUUGGGACUGAGACACGGCCCAGACUCCUACGGGAGGCAGCAGUAGGGAAUAUUGCACAAUGGAGGAAACUCUGAUGCAGCCAUGCCGCGUGUGUGAAGAAGGCCUUC